UAUUAAAGGAAGGGGCAUAUCAGGAUGUCAGUUUGGUAAGUGAAUGUGAGAAAUAGAGAAGUAAGAGCACGAUGGAUGAGGAACAAAGAAGAAAGGCCUUAGAACAAAUGACAAAGGAUGGUUACAGUAUGAGUUGUUGGAGAUGGUAUCGGGGAAUGAUCAGAUAAUCCGGGUUGAUUGAGACUAUCAGAGUUUCAAAGUGGCAUGUUGUGUUUUAAUCGGUUUUUCUUCGAGUGUGAUUUUAUGGUGAUGCUCAGGGAUCUGUUGAGUUUGAUCAAGAGAGAAGUGGAUAUUGGAAGUUGAGUUACAGAAGGCA
rnacentral:lncRNA from 1 species